GGAAUCGCUGGUUAGAGGCCGCGUGAAGGACACCCUGACCAAGCUGGGUCCUGCCCAUGCCGGUAGAUCGUCCAUGGCUUCCCUUGGGGGCUGCCACCCACUGUAAACCUGAGCAAGUUCCUCUCCUGUUCCGAAGCCUGCCCUGGCAAAGCCCCAGUACAUAUUCCAAUCCUGCUCUAGGUCAGUAUUCCCACUGCACCUGUCUACCCCUCGCCCGCCCCCCGGGUCACCACGCAGGACCCCUUGCACGCUCCCCCCACCACCUUUGCUAUGCAACUCCUCCCCUUUAUCUGCUAGGGAGACUCCUAUGCAUUCAUCAAGGUCCAGCUCAAAUCUGGCCACCCUCAGUGGCUUUUCCUGACGCUCUCAGCAGAACCAAACCUCCAGCUUUGUUAUGUGUUGGUGUUGCAGUACACAAAGUUAGUUGUUUUUCACUAAGAGCAGGACAGCCCUCAUCUCCUUGAGAACAAGAACAAAGCCUGACAUCCCAGCAGCUUGCACAGUGCUGGCGGGGCACGCUGUAAGUGCUCAGCUGAUGGUUGUUGAAUUGCUCUGAAUGGAUUGUGAGCAAGAGACCAGCAGGGGUGGAGGCUGACAGGAGAGACAGCGCCUGCCUCUGUACUCUAAAGUGCCGGGGAACUCGUGGUGAUUUGGAUCCAGUUCAGGCACCUGAAG
rnacentral:lncRNA from 1 species